AGUGUGCUAGCUUGCUAGAAUUUAGAUACAGGUGCUGCACGGCUGUCGUCAGCUCGUGUCGUGAGAUGUUGGUAAGUCCCGCAACGAGCGCAACCUCGUGUUUAGUUGCUAACAGUUCGGCUGAGAACUCUAAACAGACUGCCUACGCAAGUAGGAGGAAGGUGAGGACGACGUCAAGUCAUCAUGGCCCUUACGGCCAGGGCUACACACGUGCUACAAUGGGGUAUACAAAGAGCAGCGAUACGGUGACGUGGAGCAAAUCUAGAAAAUGCCUCUCAGUUCGGAUUGUAGUCUGCAACUCGACUACAUGAAGUUGGAAUCGCUAGUAAUCGUAGAUCAGCAAUGCUACGGUGAAUACGUUCCCGGGUCUU
rnacentral:rRNA from 1 species